rnacentral:rRNA from 1 species
GACGAACGCUGGCGGCGUGCUUAACACAUGCAAGUCGAACGGAAAGGCCCUGCUUUUGUGGGGUGCUCGAGUGGCGAACGGGUGAGUAACACGUGAGUAACCUGCCCUUGACUUUGGGAUAACUUCAGGAAACUGGGGCUAAUACCGGAUAGGAGCUCCUGCUGCAUGGUGGGGGUUGGAAAGUUUCGGCGGUUGGGGAUGGACUCGCGGCUUAUCAGCUUGUUGGUGGGGUAGUGGCUUACCAAGGCUUUGACGGGUAGCCGGCCUGAGAGGGUGACCGGACACAUUGGGACUGAGAUACGGCCCAGACUCCUACGGGAGGCAGCAGUGGGGAAUAUUGCACAAUGGGCGGAAGCCUGAUGCAGCAACGCAGCGUGCGGGAUGACGGGCUUCGGGUUGUAAACCGAUUUCGCCUGUGACGAAGCGUGAGUGACGGUAAUGGGUAAAGAAGCACCGGCUAACUACGUG